CCUACGGGUGACAGCAGUGAGGAAUAUUGGUCAAUGGACGAGAGUCUGAACCAGCCAAGUAGCGUGAAGGAUGACUGCCCUAUGAGUUGUAAACUUCUUUUAUAUGGGAAUAAAAUGUUCCACGUGUGGGAUUUUGUAUGUAUCAUAUGAAUAAGGAUCGGCUAACUCCAUGCCAGCAGCCGCGGUAAUACGGAGGAUCCGAGCGUUAUCCGGAUUUAUUGGGUUUAAGGGGAGCGUAGGUGGAUUGUUAAGUCAGUUGUGAAAGUUUGCGGCUCAACCGUAAAAUUGCAGUUGAAACUGGCAGUCUUGAGUACAGUAGAGGUGGGCGGAAUUCGUGGUGUAGCGGUGAAAUGCUUAGAUAUCACGAAGAACUCCGAUUGCGAAGGCAGUUCACUGGACUGCAACUGACACUGAGGCUCGAAAGUGUGGGUAUCAAACAGGAUUAGAUACCCCUGUAGUC
rnacentral:rRNA from 1 species